UGGGGAAUUUUGGACAAUGGGGGAAACCCUGAUCCAGCCAUCCCGCGUGUGCGAUGAAGGCCUUCGGGUUGUAAAGCACUUUUGGCAGGAAAGAAACGUCGCGGGUUAAUACCCCGCGAAACUGACGGUACCUGCAGAAUAAGCACCGGCUAACUACGUGCCAGCAGCCGCGGUAAUACGUAGGGUGCAAGCGUUAAUCGGAAUUACUGGGCGUAAAGCGUGCGCAGGCGGUUCGGAAAGAAAGAUGUGAAAUCCCAGAGCUUAACUUUGGAACUGCAUUUUUAACUACCGGGCUAGAGUGUGUCAGAGGGAGGUGGAAUUCCGCGUGUAGCAGUGAAGUGCGUAGAUAUGCGGAGGAACACCGAUGGCGAAGGCAGCCUCCUGGGAUAACACUGACGCUCAUGCACGAAAGCGUGGGGAGCAAACAGGAUUAGAUACCCUGGUAGUCCACGCCCUAAACGAUGUCAACUAGCUGUUGGGGCCUUCGGGCCUUGGUAGCGCAGCUAACGCGUGAAGUUGACCGCCUGGGGAGUACGGUCGCAAGAUUAAAACUUAAAUGAAUUGACGGGGUCAUAGCUGUUUCCU
rnacentral:rRNA from 1 species